UAAGGUUAAGUUAAUAAGGGCGCACGGUGGAUGCCUUGGCACUAGAAGCCGAUGAAGGACGUGACUAACGACGAAAUGCUUUGGGGAGCUGUAAGUGAGCAAUGAUCCAGAGAUGUCCGAAUGGGGGAACCCGGCAGGUAAUGCCUGUCACUCAUUACUGUUAAGGUAAUGUAGAGGAAGACGCAGUGAACUGAAACAUCUAAGUAGCUGUAGGAAGAGAAAGCAAAAGCGAUUGCCUUAGUAGCGGCGAGCGAAACGGCAAGAGGGCAAACCGAAGAGUUUACUCUUCGGGGUUGUAGGACUGCAACGUGGACUUAAAGAUUAUAGAAGAACUACCUGGGAAGGUAGGCCAAAGAGAGUAAUAGCCUCGUAUUCGAAAUAGUCUUUAUACCUAGCAGUAUCCUGAGUACGGCGAGACACGAGAAAUCUCGUCGGAAUCUGGGAGGACCAUCUCCCAACCCUAAAUACUCUCUAGUGACCGAUAGUGAACCAGUACCGUGAGGGAAAGGUGAAAAGCACCCCGGGAGGGGAGUGAAAUAGAACCUGAAACCGUGUGCCUACAACAAGUUCGAGCCCGUUAAUGGGUGAGAGCGUGCCUUUUGUAGAAUGAACCGGCGAGUUACGAUAUGAUGCGAGGUUAAGUUGAAGAGACGGAGCCGUAGGGAAACCGAGUCUUAAUAGGGCGCAUUAGUAUCAUGUCGUAGACCCGAAACCAUGUGACCUACCCAUGAGCAGGUUGAAGGUGAGGUAAAACUCACUGGAGGACCGAACCAGGGCACGUUGAAAAGUGCUUGGAUGACUUGUGGGUAGCGGAGAAAUUCCAAACGAACUUGGAGAUAGCUGGUUCUCUCCGAAAUAGCUUUAGGGCUAGCGUCGAUGUUAAGUCUCUUGGAGGUAGAGCACUGUUUGGGUGAGGGGUCCAUCCCGGAUUACCAAUCUCAGAUAAACUCCGAAUGCCAAUGAGAUAUAAUCGGCAGUCAGACUGCGAGUGCUAAGAUCCGUAGUCGAAAGGGAAACAGCCCAGACCACCAGCUAAGGUCCCAAAAUAUAUGUUAAGUGGAAAAGGAUGUGGGGUUGCACAGACAACUAGGAUGUUAGCUUAGAAGCAGCUAUUCAUUCAAAGAGUGCGUAAUAGCUCACUAGUCGAGUGACCCUGCGCCGAAAAUGUACCGGGGCUAAAACAUAUUACCGAAGCUGUGGAUACCUUUAUAGGUAUGGUAGGAGAGCGUUCUAUGUGCGAAGAAGGUGUACCGUGAGGAGUGCUGGAGCGCAUAGAAGUGAGAAUGCCGGUAUGAGUAGCGAAAGACAGGUGAGAAUCCUGUCCACCGUAAGACUAAGGUUUCCAGGGGAAGGCUCGUCCGCCCUGGGUUAGUCGGGACCUAAGGAGAGACCGAAAGGUGUAUCCGAUGGACAACAGGUUGAUAUUCCUGUACUAGAGUAUAUAGUGAUGGAGGGACGCAGUAGGCUAACUAAACCAGACGAUUGGAAGUGUCUGGCCAAGCAGUGAGGUGUGAUAUGAGUCAAAUGCUUAUAUCUUUAACAUUGAGCUGUGAUGGGGAGCGAAGUUUAGUAGCGAAGUUAGUGAUGUCACACUGCCGAGAAAAGCUUCUAGCGUUAAUUAUACUCUACCCGUACCGCAAACCGACACAGGUAGUCGAGGCGAGUAGCCUCAGGUGAGCGAGAGAACUCUCGUUAAGGAACUCGGCAAAAUGGCCCCGUAACUUCGGGAGAAGGGGCGCUGACUGAUGGUCAGCCGCAGUGAAUAGGCCCAAGCAACUGUUUAUCAAAAACACAGCUCUCUGCUAAAUCGUAAGAUGAUGUAUAGGGGGUGACGCCUGCCCGGUGCUGGAAGGUUAAGAGGAGUGCUUAGCGUAAGCGAAGGCAUGAAUUGAAGCCCCAGUAAACGGCGGCCGUAACUAUAACGGUCCUAAGGUAGCGAAAUUCCUUGUCGGGUAAGUUCCGACCCGCACGAAAGGCGUAAUGAUUUGGGCACUGUCUCAACGAGAGACUCGGUGAAAUUUUAGUACCUGUGAAGAUGCAGGUUACCCGCGACAGGACGGAAAGACCCCAUGGAGCUUUACUGCAGUUUGAUAUUGAGUAUCUGUACCACAUGUACAGGAUAGGUAGGAGCCUAUGACCUCGGGACGCCAGUUUCGAGUGAGGCGUUGUUGGGAUACUACCCUUGUGUUAUGGCUACUCUAACCCAGAUAGGUUAUCCCUAUCGGAGACAGUGUCUGACGGGCAGUUUGACUGGGGCGGUCGCCUCCUAAAAGGUAACGGAGGCGCCCAAAGGUUCCCUCAGAAUGGUUGGAAAUCAUUCGCAGAGUGUAAAGGUAUAAGGGAGCUUGACUGCGAGAG
rnacentral:rRNA from 1 species